AGUGAACGCUGGCGGUAGGCCUAACACAUGCAAGUCGAACGGCAGCACAGUAAGAGCUUGCUCUUACGGGUGGCGAGUGGCGGACGGGUGAGGAAUACAUCGGAAUCUACUUUUUCGUGGGGGAUAACGUAGGGAAACUUACGCUAAUACCGCAUACGACCUACGGGUGAAAGCAGGGGAUCUUCGGACCUUGCGCGAUUGAAUGAGCCGAUGUCGGAGUAGCUAGUUGGCGGGGUAAAGGCCCACCAAGGCGACGAUCCGUAGCUGGUCUGAGAGGAUGAUCAGCCACAGUGGAACUGAGACAAGGUCCAGACACCUACGGGAGGGAGCAGUGGUGAAUAUUAGACAAUGGGCGCAAGCCUGAUCCAGACAUACCACGUGGGUGAAGAAGGCAUGCGGGUUGUAAAGCCCUUGUGUUGGGAAAGAAAAGCAGCAGGUUAAUACCCCGCUGUUCUGACGGUACCCAAAGAAUAAGCACAGGCUAACUUCGUG
rnacentral:rRNA from 1 species